rnacentral:lncRNA from 1 species
CCUGGUACUUGUUAACAUGGAGAAUUUUUUGACAGAGAAAGUGUUUGCACUUAAAAUUCCUUGUUGCAUGAUUAGUAACUAGGUGUGUGAAAUCUUCUUUAUUGUGAGGAGGCAUGUGAACAAGUUGAGGUAGGUGAUUUUGUCAUCUUCCACACAAUGAGAUAAAGCGAAGUAUAACAUGGUUGUAGUCAACAAGAGAGUCAUUUC